rnacentral:rRNA from 1 species
GAUGAACGCUGGCGGCGUGCCUAAUACAUGCAGGUCGAGCGAACGGACGAGAAGCUUGCUUCUCUGAUGUUAGCGGCGGACGGGUGAGUAACACGUGGAUAACCUACCUAUAAGACUGGGAUAACUUCGGGAAACCGUAGCUAAUACCGGAAAAUAUUUUGAACCGCAUGGUUCAAAAGUGAAAGACGGUCUUGCUGUCACUUAUAGAUGGAUCCGCGCUGCAUUAGCUAGUUGGUAAGGUAACGGCUUACCAAGGCAACGAUGCAUAGCCGACCUGAGAGGGUGAUCGGCCACACUGGAACUGAGACACGGUCCAGACUCCUACGGGAGGCAGCAGUAGGGAAUCUUCCGCAAUGGGCGAAAGCCUGACGGAGCAACGCCGCGUGAGUGAUGAAGGUCUUCGGAUCGUAAAACUCUGUUAUUAGGGAAGAACAUAUGUGUAAGUAACUGUGCACAUCUUGACGGUACCUAAUCAGAAAGCCACGGCUAACUACGUG